rnacentral:rRNA from 1 species
GAUGAACGCUGGCGGCGUGCUUAACACAUGCAAGUCGAACGAAGCAUUUGCGACAGAUUUUUUCGGAAUGAAGUUGCUUAUGACUGAGUGGCGGACGGGUGAGUAACGCGUGGGUAACCUGCCUUGUACUGGGGGAUAGCAGCUGGAAACGGCUGGUAAUACCGCAUAAGCGCACAAUGUUGCAUGACAUGGUGUGAAAAACUCCGGUGGUAUAAGAUGGACCCGCGUCUGAUUAGCUAGUUGGUGAGAUAACAGCCCACCAAGGCGACGAUCUGUAGCCGCUCCCAAAGGGCGACCAGCGACACUGGGCGUGAGGCGCGGCCCGGACUCCUGGGGGAGGCACCAGUCCGGAACUUUGGAGGAUGGGCGAAGGGGGGAUACAUCAAAACCGGGUGAAUGAUGAAGGCCGCCGGGUCGUAGAGGACAAUAGGUGAGUACGAAAAGAACUGUGCAAACACCGGGAAUAGAUGACGGUACCCGCAGAAAAAGCCCCGGCUAAAUACGUG